GAAACCGUAGAGCUAAUACCGGAUAAUAUUUUGAACCGCAUGGUUCAAAAGUGAAAGACGGUCUUGCUGUCACUUAUAGAUGGAUCCGCGCUGCAUUAGCUAGUUGGUAAGGUAACGGCUUACCAAGGCAACGAUGCAUAGCCGACCUGAGAGGGUGAUCGGCCACACUGGAACUGAGACACGGUCCAG
rnacentral:rRNA from 1 species